UACAGAGGUCUCAAGCGUUGUUCGGAUUCAUUGGGCGUAAAGGGUGCGUAGGUGGCGCCAUAAGUCAGGUGUGAAAUCUCGGGGCUCAACCCCGAAACUGCACUUGAUACUGUGGUGCUCGAGUACUGGAGAGGAGAUUGGAAUUUACGGUGUAGCAGUGAAAUGACGUAGAUAUCGUAAGGAAGACCAGUGGCGAAGGCGAAUCUCUGGACAGUUACUGACACUGAGGCACGAAGGCCAGGGGAGCAAACGGG
rnacentral:rRNA from 1 species